AGGUACUCCAUUGUCUGACGGAUCUGAGAACGCUGUCUGGGCUUCGUGCCAAGGGCUGGUAUUCACACAGCAAGGACGGCCUCACAGAAGAGCUGUGGGAAGCAGGAGGGAGUGCCUCUCUUAGGGUGCCACUACUAUGGAGACACAGCUGGGCUGAACAAGAUUUCCUUCAAACGACAACAAGAGAGACAGAAAGUAUGUGAUUCAACCGCUGCCCAAGCAGGCAGGCAGGCACCAGAAGAGCUAGCAGCCAAUCCGGCCAUGCUCGAAGCCAGUCCUGCAGCUCAGCCAAUCAGUGACAUCAUUGGACAUCUCUUUAGAUUGCUCAUGAUGAUAUGAAGAUGAAACUUAAUAGCAAUAACCAAUGGAUGCUUUCCUUGGAGUCAGUUCAACACUGUGGAGAACAGAUCUUCAGGAAUGUUACUGGGAUAACUGUUCAAAUCAAAUCCCAUGCUCCUAUCAUGCACACCAGAAUAGGGCUCCUGUCUUACUGAGCAGUAUACACUAUGGAGAGAUCCUUCAAAAUCCGUUGGGAGGAAGAACAGAUGAAUUCAUAAAACUGUUCAUCUCUGUUAUCCUGAAUGGUCACUCAGACAACAUUUUACUAAACUAUCAAGGGGAACACUUAAAGUGCCUGCGAGACGGGAAGAGAAUGACUACAGGAGAAAAUCAU
rnacentral:lncRNA from 1 species